CAGCCCUGUGCUGUGCUGAGAAUGGGGAGGUUCCGUGCCACCGGGAAGUCCCCUGUGCUCCACAGGCCACACAGGCAAGACAUGGAAACAGGCAUGAGAGGUUGAAUGGCUUGCCCAAGGACUCACAGCAAGUUAGGCCCUUACCCUCCCUCCAGGAAGUCCUCCAGGCAGCUCCGGCC